rnacentral:Y_RNA from 1 species
GGCUGGUCCUAAGGUAGUGAGUUAUCUCACUUGAUGGAUUGUUCAGUCAGUUAUAGAUUGAACUCCUUAUUCUACUACUUUACCCCCUUCUCACUACAGCACUUGAUUAGUCUUAA